rnacentral:tRNA from 2 species
GAAUUGAAAGCUAAAAUCAUAAGCAUCGACCUUGUAAGUCGAAGAUAGAGAUACCUCUCAAUUCU